GGGCGCAGCCUGGAUCCAGCCAUACCGCGGUGGGGUGAAGAAGGCCUUCGGGUUUGUAAAGCCCUUUUGUUGGGAAAGAAAUCCAGCUGGUUAAUACCCGGAUUGGGAUGACGGUACCCAAAGAAUAAGCACCGGCUAACUUCGUGCCAGCAGCCGCGGUAAUACGAA
rnacentral:rRNA from 1 species